AGUUGCAGCCUUUUUUCACUCUCAUCGCCGCCGUUUGCUUCGGGCUGCCGUUGCCGGUGCUGUCCUUGCCGCCGUCGGUACCUCCGGUUGUUCUGGCAGGAUUAGCGCUUGAUGGGUCCUGGCUGCUGCCUCUGCUGGGGUGGAGAGCAGUGGAGCGAUCGGCGAAGGAGGGAGGACAGGCAGAUGAGUGAAAGGAUGGCUGCAGGAUGAUCCGAAUAAAACCCAUGGAGAUAUCCGAGGAGCAAUGAGGAGAUUAGCAAUAGGGGAUCCAGAGAGAAUCGUUUCUGAUGAGUAGCAAGACAGCAAGGAACUGGAACGAGAGAGCCUGGGAGCAAGUAUUGAAGGAUAAACGAUAGAAAGAGAGGACAAAAUGGUUAAACCUGGCACAAGGAGACAACAAAACAGAAAAGGAAGACCUGAUCAUCUGCCUCAUGGUAGACAGCUCCAAACACACACCAACCUGCUCACAGCUCUGUGGAUAUGAACAAAAUGACCGAGUCAAAGUCUGGAGUCUAAUGAAGACACUGUCUGCUGAGUUGUCCGAGCACCUGAUAUGAGGAGGGCGGCCAGAGGAACAGACAUGAGAUUCACGGACAGGAUCUUUAGAGGAUUUCUAUAACAUUCAAAGGAACAAGGAAGCAGACCACUGACAUGUAGGAACCUGAGCAUGAAACUGGUUUCUGUGAAAAGGAGGACAAAUUGGAUUAACGUCAGAACUUGAGGAAAGGAACAACACAAGAAGAGAUGGGCCUGAUUACAACUCUUGUGGGCAAAGCAAUCUUGCAUCUGCCUCAGGGAGUCUGCUCCUCUUUAUGCUCCUCCUGAUUGGUCCCGAUGUGCUGCAGCUGCAGGAUCACACCUGCCACUCACACCCUGCAAGGAAGAGUUAAGGAGACCUGCACGCAGCUCUGUGUAUGUAACAUUUGCUGCCAGUGAUGUCUUACUUUCAGAAAUUAAAUUCAUGAGACAUAUACUGUGAGGACCAAGGUGUCCCAAUUUGAACCUCUACUGUAAAUAUAUAUGCCCAUCACAUUAGUGCUGCAGAAUCUGAUGCUUCAGUUCAUAGAUUGCGUUCGGAUCUGUUCUUUUUAAAGACCACAGGAAAUGAUUCACAUCACUUUCACACUUAUUAAUAUGCUGAAUGACCUCUGCUACCUUAAGAGAAGCCACUUGCGUCAGAAUAGCAAUUUACCAUCCCGGCAUUGAUCUUUUGGACCAGCUUCAUAAGAGGGUGGGAUCUCUUCUAGCUGCAUAUUGUGUAAAAAUACAAAAAACAUCAAAUGUCACACAAGGCAUGACUUUGCAAGUUAUCAAGAUGCUGUUUCAUUAGAUCACACAGGCAUUUGGUGUUUCUGUGUAAAUGUUGUUCACGUUUCUGUUCUCUUAACUAGAAUUCUAGUAAAGAAUAAUUAUUAUUAUUCUAGUAAAGCAUCUGAAAGAGUGAAACCUAAAGAAAUAGCAAAACAGGAUCUUUUAAACAGCAUUCUCAAUCAACUGACAAACUACUGGUAUGUGUUCAUCUUCACAACUUGUGCUUUGAGCUAUUAGUAUAUCGUUUCCAAGGGAUAUAUAUUUUUUAAUUAUUACAAAAAAGAAAAAGAGAAGAAUUAAGAAAAAUAUUUUCUGAAUCAGUACAUCAUGCUGAAAACUUUCCCUGUCGUUUUCUGGAGCUGAUAAUUUAGCCCCAUUCACCAUUUUGUAGUUUCUGUACAGUGCUAAAACAUUUUCGUUUCUUUUCUUGUAGUAACAAGGUCCCGUGUUCAGAUUCUUUCUGCAUGAGGUUUGUGUGUUCUGUGUUGCCCUGUGAUGGACUGGUGACCUGUCCUAGGUGUACCUCACCAAUCACUCAAUGACCUAGACCAGGGGUCAUAAUCUGGCAUAUUUCAUUAAAGUCAACUGAUUGUAACAAGGAUCAGAACCACAAUCUGGAGCCCAAAUGUUAAGUAAAAUACCAGACUGUCUUGUGUUUUGUUUCUUAAUUAUCUGUGUGGUAAGCUAGUGAGCAGAUGAAGACUGUAAAACUCUUGUUAUUCAUUUGCCCUAAAGUGACAAACGAUUAAAAAGCUAAUAUUAAUAAAAGCUUAUAACUCUA